rnacentral:lncRNA from 1 species
UGAGAUCGAGGGUCCAAGACUAUAUAUAGGGAUCUCAAACUCCUUGUUUCAACACACAAAAAACACCAAGCAGUAGCACUUGGAAACACUUUAAGUUUAUAUUUGUGUUUUCUUUUUCUCUUAUGCUCUUGUUUAAGAGUAUUGUGAGAUGUAGUUCAAAUAUUUACUUUGGAGAGUGUGGGUGUGUUGGGGUGGUUGAGAGUGAAGUCUAUGUGUUAU